CAAUAGCGUAUAUUAAAGUUGUUGCAGUUAAAAAGCUCGUAGUUGAAGAUCUGGGUGAAGGCCGUGUCAUUGACACUAGGCCGGACCCCUAUUCACGAGGAAGCCUUAGUGCAUUAACUUGUGCUUUGGUCGAUUCGUGUCGUUUACUGUGAACAAAUUAGGGUGUUUAAAGCAGACCUCUGUUUGUAUACAUUAGCAUGGAAUAAUUAGAUAUGACUUCAGUUAUAUUUUGUUGGUGAUAACUAAAGUAAUGAUUGAUAGGAACAGUCGUGGGUAUUCGUAUGAGCAUGUCAGAGGUGAAAUUCUUGGAUUUUGAUCAGACGAACUACUGCGAAAGCAUUUACCAAGGAUGUUUNCAUUG
rnacentral:rRNA from 1 species